rnacentral:RNase_P_RNA from 1 species
GAAGCGGGACGGGUGAUCGCUGUUCAGAAUUGAAUGGAGGAAAGUCCGGGCUCCAUCGGACACGAUGACGGAUAACAUCCGCCGAUCGAAAGGUCAGGGAAAGUGCAACAGAAAAUAUACCGCCGAAAAAUUUUUUUUCGGUAAGGGUGAAAUGGCGAGGUAAAAGCUCACCACGAUUCGGGUAACCGAAUCGGUAAGGCAAACCCCAUUGGGAGCAAGGUCAAAUAAGAAUCUAUAGGUUGUCCGAGCCGUUGAGAUUCGGGUGGACCGCUUGAGAAUUUUAGGUAACUAAUUUUCCAGAUAAAUGAUCACCAAUUUGAUUUAUUAAAAGAUCAAAUUACAGAACCCGGCUUAUAGUCCCGCUUCCUUU